rnacentral:lncRNA from 1 species
GUCAGGAGUGGUUAAGAAAGGGCCCUGCAGAAACUGACAUCUGAGCUGGUUCUCAGGGAGAAAUAGCAGUCACCAGGCAGCCUUUGGGGGAGGGAGAGUGGAGGGAGGGGAAGCCACAAGGCUUUCUUGGAAGCAAAGAAAACAGCAGGUGCAAAAGAGGCAUGAAAUAGUAUCUUGUCCUAUAAACUUGCAGUCAGUGUUACUGACGAGUUGGAUGGGAAAGCAACAACAGGCAGCAAAGAGAUGCCUGGGAUAAUGGGAGUAGGUGCAGCUGGAGGGCUAGGAGCUGGCCAGGGCCCCCUGUGUCACACCAACUCUCAUGCUCAACCUUGAUUCAGCAGGCAGUGGGAGGCCAGGAAGAGGCUUUCAGAAGAGCUAUGAUCAGACUUGCGUUUUGGAGGGAUAUCUCUGGGUGAAAAACAAAACGAAAGAAACUAUGCUGAUAGCGCGUAGCUUUUAUAGUCUGGUUAGAAAUGUCUCUCACCAGUAUUUUUUUAGUCCUCUAAGUCAUAUUUAAGAGCAUUAGCCUGUCUUCUGAUCCUUUGUGACCUAUGCCAAUUGCUAUAUGAUGUCUUUUAUUCCCCCAAACACAAUCAGCAGCACUGACAUGGAGUGGAAGGGGGAGGUUUUAGGCUGCCACCAGCUCCAACCCCUUUUUACUUGCUUCUUCAGCUACCCCAAGUAAUCAUUUCUUCUAAAUAAAGCUAUUGUGCUUGCUCUUCAGGGGCAGCUUCAAGACAAAGUUCUGAGCCCCCUUUCCAGCCAUGAGCAGCUCUAAGUCCCUUCAGCAGAGUAUACAAAUCCGGGAGCAUCCACUGACUAUCAGCAAACGACUCUUAGACUUACAGAUAAUUGUUAGGUUCUUCAAGAAAGCAGAGGUUUCAUAACGUUCUUGUGUAAGGCCCUAAAGGAAACUUCUCAUCAGAACCCCACUAGUCUACAAUGAUUGGGAGAGGCCUCUGCAGGUAGAACCUAUGAAGAAAGUCUCCAUUCUUCAACAAUUAGGACCAUUACUCCUGAAAUUGGCAACAAAUGGUUUGGCCAUUGGCUAUAUCCUCAGCUGAAUUCCACAAGAGUCAUUUCAGCUAUGGAAAGUUCAAUGGCAGGUGUGGUCCGAAGCCAACCAGAGGACGCAGGAGAUUGGAGAAGAGCUCUCCUUCCGUUCAGGCUCACGGCAAAGCACGUUGCCUUCUUUCUUUUGCAAAAUAACCACAGGAUACUUCUCAGAGAGAUGCUACGGAGAUGCUUCAGCCUUGAACACCAUGUUCUAAAGCUCUCCAUUGCUGAAGAAAAGGAUUUCCACUCAAUGAAAUCAUGACGCAGAAGAUUAUGCAGUUUGAGUCUCAAGAUGUAAAAGGUCUGAAGAGACUGCAUAUAGGUAGGAACUAACUGAAAAAUAAGAAGAAGGCCUGUGCUAUGAUAUACGUUGAUACAGUGGCAGUCAGGUUAUUUCUUUUCCUUUGUUCCUUUGUUCCUUUGUGU